UGGGGAAUUUUGGACAAUGGGCGAAAGCCUGAUCCAGCAAUGCCGCGUGUGUGAAGAAGGCCUUCGGGUUGUAAAGCACUUUUGUCCGGAAAGAAAUCCUUGGCUCUAAUACAGUCGGGGGAUGACGGUACCGGAAGAAUAAGCACCGGCUAACUACGUGCCAGCAGCCGCGGUAAUACGUAGGGUGCAAGCGUUAAUCGGAAUUACUGGGCGUAAAGCGUGCGCAGGCGGUUUGCUAAGACCGAUGUGAAAUCCCCGGGCUCAACCUGGGAACUGCAUUGGUGACUGGCAGGCUAGAGUGUGGCAGAGGGGGGUAGAAUUCCACGUGUAGCAGUGAAAUGCGUAGAGAUGUGGAGGAAUACCGAUGGCGAAGGCAGCCCCCUGGGCCAAUACUGACGCUCAUGCACGAAAAGCGUGGGGAGCAAAACAGGAUUAGAUACCCUGGUAGUCCACGCCCUAAAACGAUGUCAACUAGUUGUUGGGGAUUCAUUUCCUUAGUAACGUAGCUAACGCGUGAAGUUGACCGCCUGGGGAGUACGGUCGCAAAGAUUAAAAACUCAAAUGAAUUGACGGGGUCAUAGCUGUUUCCU
rnacentral:rRNA from 1 species